AGCCAACGAGGCUCCAGCAGAACAACAUCCUGCACCGUCUCGCUCUGCAUGAUGUUGAUCUGUGGGAGGAGGAAGGAAAUGAAUGAGGAGGAAAGAUGGUGAGAGAGGAAGAGGACAGGAAACAAGGACUACACACAGUCUGCUUUGAAGCAGAUGAACAAACACCCACCUCCCCCAUGCUGUGGAGCUGCAGGGCUAGUGUGCGGAGAUGGUCCUGGCUGACCAGAGGGUUGAUGUGCUCCUGGACG